CGUUUCCCAGGUGGUGGUUAUUGAGGUCGGUUAUACACGGACCCAUUCAAACUUCCCUCUACAUGCGCCCGGGGCCAACAACCACCGGCCUUUCAUUUGUGGAGGAAGAGGAGCGGCUAGAAAACGGAGCCCUGACUUCUCAGAAAGCACUGCCCGGAGGAGGCGGCAACAGAGCCCCAGUCUGUCUUCUUACAACUCCGUUUCCCCAGAGAGAAAAAGAAAAAAUGAGCGUG